rnacentral:rRNA from 1 species
AAACUCAAAUGAAUUGACGGGGGCCCGCACAAGCGGUGAGCAUGUGGUUUAAUUCGAUGCAACGCGAAGAACCUUACCUGGCCUUGACAUCCAGAGAACUUAGCAGAGAUGCUUUGGUGCCUUCGGGAACUCUGAGACAGGUGCUGCAUGGCUGUCGUCAGCUCGUGUUGUGAAAUGUUGGGUUAAGUCCCGCAACGAGCGCAACCCUUAUCCUUUGUUGCCAGCGG